rnacentral:rRNA from 1 species
UGCCGGAUGACAGCCGGGGCAUCCUGGUUUUCAGUUGGGGCGCAAGGCGACGCUUCGAUGAACCCGGCCUAUGCUAGUUGGAGGUAACCCCACCAACUAAGACGUAGCUGGUGAGAGGACCCAGCCACUGGAACUGACACGGUCGACACCUAGGUGGCAGGUCGAGAAUUUCACAAGGCGAAAGUGAUGGAGACGCCGCGGGGGAUGAGGCUUCGGCGUAAACCUGUCAUUUGAUCAAACCGCUAUUUAAGAUGGCGCUGAUAGUCGAAAGAAA